UAGAGUUUGAUCCUGGCUCAGGAUGAACGCUGGCGGCGUGCUUAACACAUGCAAGUCGAACGAUGAAGCCCACUUGUGGGUGGAUUAGUGGCGAACGGGUGAGUAACACGUGAGUAACCUGCCCUUGACUCUGGGAUAAGCCUGGGAAACUGGGUCUAAUACCGGAUAUGACCUUCCAUCGCAUGGUGGUUGGUGGAAAGCUUUUGUGGUUUUGGAUGGACUCGCGGCCUAUCAGCUUGUUGGUGGGGUAAUGGCCUACCAAGGCGACGACGGGUAGCCGGCCUGAGAGGGUGACCGGCCACACUGGGACUGAGACACGGCCCAGACUCCUACGGGAGGCAGCAGUGGGGAAUAUUGCACAAUGGGCGGAAGCCUGAUGCAGCGACGCCGCGUGAGGGAUGACGGCCUUCGGGUUGUAAACCUCUUUCAGUAGGGAAGAAGCGAGAGUGACGGUACCUGCAGAAGAAGCGCCGGCUAACUACGUGCCAGCAGCCGCGGUAAUACGUAGGGCGCAAGCGUUAUCCGGAAUUAUUGGGCGUAAAGAGCUCGUAGGCGGUUUGUCGCGUCUGCCGUGAAAGUCCGGGGCUCAACUCCGGAUCUGCGGUGGGUACGGGCAGACUAGAGUGAUGUAGGGGAGACUGGAAUUCCUGGUGUAGCGGUGAAAUGCGCAGAUAUCAGGAGGAACACCGAUGGCGAAGGCAGGUCUCUGGGCAUUAACUGACGCUGAGGAGCGAAAGCAUGGGGAGCGAACAGGGUUAGAUACCCUGGUAGUCCAUGCCGUAAACG
rnacentral:rRNA from 1 species